GGCCCAGAUCGUUUACCGUGAAAAAAUUAGAGUGUUCAAAGCAGACAGAUCCAAUCUUCUACCACCGAAUACAUUAGCAUGGGAUAAUGGAAUAGGACCCUGUCCUCCUAUUUUCAGUUGGUUUUGGCAGGGCGAGAGACUAGGGUAAUGAUUAAUAGGGAUAGUUGGGGGCAUUAAUAUUUAAUUGUCAGAGGUGAAAUUCUUGGAUUUAUGAAAGAUUAACUUCUGCGAAAGCAUCUGCCAAGGAUGUUUUCAUUAAUCAAGAACGAAAGUUAGGGGAUCGAACACGAUCAGAUACCGUCGUAGUCUUAACCAUAAACGAUGCCGACCAGCGAUUAGGACACGUUGAAUACAAAACACCACCAUCGGUUGCGGUCAUCCUUGGCGUCUCGGUUUCGUACGGGGCGCGGGGACGGUUUAGCCCGGUGGCACCGGUGAAUGACUCCCCUAGCAGCUUGUGAGA
rnacentral:rRNA from 1 species